UGAGGUGUCUGUUUCCAAGUUCAGGGGUCCCAGAGAGGAACUGGCCGCUCCUUGCUGGGGAUUGCAGUCCCAUGGGAGCCCUGCUGAGCCUGGGCAGGAGCAGCUGCCUGCAGGACUGAGCUCAGGGGAGGAACUCCCUGGGACUUCCCCCUGCUCCCCUGGCCCUGCUGGCCCAGUGUAAGCACUCAGGGCACAGUUUGGGGCUGCAGCUCCUUAAGGCAGUGCUUGAUGCUCUGCUCUGUCCCUCCUGGGCAGGGGGCAGUGCCUGCACAGCACCGAGAUGAGCAUGGAGCUGUGCCAGGCACCUGGGCUGGGCCCCCCAUACCUCUAACAGGUGCUCAGCCACCUGCAAGGUAGGAGAAGGUAAAGCCCAAUGACUUUCUGCAGGCUCAGCGGCCUCCAGAGGUACCGUCCUACCUGCAGAUGCAGUCCUGCUGCUGGCAGUCUGAUUUUCAGAGUGGCAGAGGGCUCAGCAGCUCAACUCACACCCUGAGUGCUUUGGGGAAAGGACAGAUCUGUCUCGAGUAGCCAAGGCAGGACCAGCCUUGGAAUGUCAGGAGAAAUGUGUGACUUUGGGCAGAGCCCUGCUGGGCAGCCACCCUCAGGCUGGAUGCUGCUCUGGAGCUGGUGAUCACCACACGUGGCCAGAACUUCAGUGACCCCUCUCUUACUACUGCAGAUAUAUCUCAGUAUAUGGAGAAGAGCAGGUACUGGGAUGAGGCAAAUUUCUCCAGCAGCAGCACUGUCCAUGGCUUAUCUCCCACCAUGAUGAUGACUGCUCAUGGAAA